rnacentral:piRNA from 1 species
GGAUUACUCAUGGUUAGUGGUCGG